rnacentral:rRNA from 1 species
UACGGAGGGUGCGAGCGUUGUCCGGAAUCAUUGGGCGUAAAGGGCGCGUAGGUGGCGGCUUAAGCGUGCGGUGAAAGCUCGGGGCUCAACCCCGAGUCGGCCGUGCGAACUGAGUCGCUUGAGCACUGUAGAGGCAGGCGGAAUUCCGGGUGUAGCGGUGGAAUGCGUAGAGAUCCGGAGGAACACCGACGGCGUAGGCAGCGCCCUAGACGAGACCUGACGCUCAGGCACGAAAGCGCGGGGAGCGAACAGG